CCUACGGGUGGCAGCAGUGAGGAAUAUUGGUCAAUGGCCGCAAGCCUGAACCAGCCAAGUCGCGUGAAGGAUGACUGCCCUAUGGUUUGUAAACUUCUUUUAUAUGGGAAUAAAGGUCUCCACGUAUGGUUAUUUGCAUGUACCCUAUGAAUAAGCAUCGGCUAACUCCGUGCCAGCAGCCGCGGUAAUACGGAGGAUGCGAGCGUUAUCCGGAUUUAUUGGGUUUAAAGGGUGCGUAGGUUGUUUGUUAAGUCAGCGGUGAAAGUUUGUGGCUCAACCAUAAAAUUGCCGUUGAAACUGGCAGACUUGAGUGUAGUAGAGGUAGGCGGAAUGCGUGGUGUAGCGGUGAAAUGCAUAGAUAUCACGCAGAACUCCGAUUGCGAAGGCAGCUUGCUAGGCUAUAACUGACACUGAAGCACGAAAGCGUGGGGAUCAAACAGGAUUAGAUACCCUUGUAGUC
rnacentral:rRNA from 1 species